rnacentral:rRNA from 1 species
UACGUAGGGGGCGAGCGUUACCCGGAUUUACUGGGCGUAAAGCGCGUGUAGGCGGCUGGCCAAGCGUGAUGUGAAAUCUUCGGGCUUAACCCGAAAACUGCAUUGCGAACUGGUCUGGCUAGAGUGUGUGAGAGGGUAGUGGAAUUCCCGGUGUAGUGGUGAUAUGCGUAGAUAUCGGGAGGAACACCUGUGGCGAAGGCGGCUUUCUGGGCCUUACCUGACGCUGAGACGCGAAAGCGUGGGGAGCGAACCGG